AUUGAACGCUGGCGGCAGGCCUAACACAUGCAAGUCGAACGAGUGGCGGACGGGUCAGUAAUGUCUGGGAAACUGCCCGAUGGAGGGGGAUAACUACUGGAAAUGGUAGCUAAUACCGCAUACCAUCAGAUGUGCCCAGAUGGGAUUAGCUAGUAGGUGGGUUAAUGGCUCACCUAGGCGACGAUCCCUAGCUGGUCUGAGAGGAUGACCAGCCGCACUGGAACUGAGACACGGUCCAGACUCCUACGGGAGGGAGCAGUGGGGAAUAUUGCACAAUGGGCGCAAGCCUGAUGCAGCCAUGCCGCGUGUAUGAAGAAGGCCUUCGGGUUGUAAAGUACUUUCAGCGGGGAGGCGUUACCCGCAGAAGAAGCACCGGCUAACUCCGUGCCAGCAGCCGCGGUAAUUC
rnacentral:rRNA from 1 species